UACGUAGGGGGCUAGCGUUGUCCGGAUUUAUUGGGCGUAAAGAGCGUGUAGGCGGCUUGGUAGGUCCGCUGUGAAAACUCGAGGCUCAACCUCGAGACGUCGGCGGAAACCAUCUGGCUAGAGUCCGGAAGAGGAGAGUGGAAUUCCUGGUGUAGCGGUGAAAUGCGCAGAUAUCAGGAAGAACACCCGUGGCGAAGGCGGCUCUCUGGGACGGUACUGACGCUGAGACGCGAAAGCGUGGGGAGCGAACAGG
rnacentral:rRNA from 1 species